UGGGGAAUAUUGCACAAUGGGCGAAAGCCUGAUGCAGCAACGCCGCGUGAGUGAUGAAGGCCUUCGGAUUGUAAAGCUCUGUCUUUUGGGACGAUAAUGACGGUACCAAAGGAGGAAGCCACGGCUAACUACGUGCCAGCAGCCGCGGUAAUACGUAGGUGGCGAGCGUUGUCCGGAUUUACUGGGCGUAAAGGGUGCGUAGGCGGAUGUUUAAGUGAGAUGUGAAAUACCCGGGCUUAACUUGGGUGCUGCAUUUCAAACUGGAUAUCUAGAGUGCAGGAGAGGAGAAUGGAAUUCCUAGUGUAGCGGUGAAAUGCGUAGAGAUUAGGAAGAACACCAGUGGCGAAGGCGAUUCUCUGGACUGUAACUGACGCUGAGGCACGAAAGCGUGGGUAGCAAACAGGAUUAGAUACCCUGGUAGUCCACGCCGUAAACGAUGAGUACUAGGUGUAGGAGGUAUCGACCCCUUCUGUGCCGCAGUAAACACAUUAAGUACUCCGCCUGGGAAGUACGAUCGCAAGAUUAAAACUCU
rnacentral:rRNA from 1 species